rnacentral:snRNA from 1 species
UUACUUAUCUGGCAGGGGAGAUACCAUGAUCAUGAAGGUAAUUUUCCCAGGGCAAGGCACAUACCUUGCACGCCGGGUGUGCUGACUCCUGUGAUUUCCCCAAAUGUGAGAAACUCGACUACAUAAUUUAUGAUAGUGGGGAGACUGCAUUUGCAUUCUCCCCU